GAUGAAGAACGCAGCGAAAUGCGAUACGUAAUGUGAAUUGCAGAAUUCAGUGAAUCAUCGAAUCUUUGAACGCAUAUUGCGCUCUCUGGUAUUCCGGAGAGCAUGCUUGUUUGAGUAUCAGUAAACACCUCAACUUCCAUAUCUUUUUUGAAAUGGGAGUUGGACUUGAGUGAUCCCAACGCUUUUCCUCACCGAAAAGUGGCGGGUUACUUGAAAUGCAGGUGCAGCUGGACUUUUCUCUGAGCUAUAAGCAUAUCUAUUUAGUCUGCCUAAAAAACAGAUUAUUACCUUUGCUGCAGCUAACAUAAAGGAGAUUAGUUCUUGUGCUGACUGAUGCAGGAUUCACAAAGACGGCUUCGGCCGACUUUGUAAACUCGAUCUCAAAUCAAGUAAAACUACCCGCUGAACUUAAGCAUAUCAAUAAGCGGAGGA
rnacentral:misc_RNA from 1 species